rnacentral:rRNA from 1 species
UACGUAGGGGGCUAGCGUUGUCCGGAAUCAUCGGGCGUAAAGCGCGUGUAGGCGGCCCGGUAAGUCCGCUGUGAAAGUCGGGGGCUCAACCCUCGGAUGCCGGUGGAUACUGUCGGGCUUGAGUACGGAAGAGGCGAGUGGAAUUCCUGGUGUAGCGGUGAAAUGCGCAGAUAUCAGGAGGAACACCUAUUGCGAAGGCAGUUUACUAAGCUUUAACUGACACUGAGGCACGAAAGUGUGGGGAUCAAACAGG